UUCAAGUCUUUAUUUAGCAAAUUCAUAAUGGAGGUAGAGGAGAUAAAUUGCCCAAUCCGUAAUGCUUUUUGGGAUUAGGCCUAUAAGUAACAUUUGAUAAACAUAAAACAUAGGAAGGUUAAGGCUUUUUACUUGCAUUUAUUGAUAGAAUUUUUUUUCUACUGCUUGUGAUCACUGAAAGCGUUGAUCUUGGCCUGGAUGUGGUGCGCCUUGUUCUCCAGCGUUUCAAUGUUGGCAUUGCAGUCCCAUAUCUUCUUAGCAGGGCCCAGAGCCAAGCCACACAAGGCGCUUGCCAAGACGCUUGUCAAGGAGCCCACAACCUCCAUGGCUGUAGACCUACAAGUAAAGGUUGUCUCCCUCCCAGAAAGAAGCACAAUAUUAACUCUUGACCUUGUAGAUCGGAAUUCUUCACUUUUUUCACAGCUGUGACUCACUCACUCUAAGAGAUUCACAGUGAGCACCGCAACGAUCGCUACAUCGCUCGCAAGAAACACCUCUAUUUGUACAAACAGACAAACGUGGAGCACGUAAAGUACUUGUGUCUUUGGCCUAAAAACGGGCAUCUUAAACGCCAUAGCCAGAAAAUGGACGGCGGAGAUCUUUUGAGCAAGAACCCUAAGCCCCAAUUUCUCUUGGCGAGGCGGCGAGAGAGCGAUGGCGCAGAGAGAUGCGACACGCCCGAGAAGAACAUCGUCUUUUCUCUUGUACGGCGUUGAUCCAGGCGAACGGGAAUAGAGGGCUCCUCUGCCGAUCUUUGAUGGGAUCCGGGCGAUCUUGUCACCGACGUCUUGAAAGAUCUUAGAUUCUAUCCGCAAUCGCCCAGUCAAUGCGAUCCUGGCGAUGGGUGCUCCAUAUCAUUCUAUUCCCGCCCGGACGUGAUCUCCAGGAUUUGCGAAGAAGAAGGUCGUCGAUCAGAUGCGCGAUGCUGGCGCGCAAUUGAUUGGGGCUUCCCGCUACAUUUUCCCGCGCUAUCGUCUCUACUUCUCCAUUCUAGGGUUCUUUCUUGGAGGCGACGUAGGUUUUCUAUUGCCCGCGUGGUCGAGGAGACGGCGCUGGGGGGCGGCCUUGAUCGGCGUUCUGGAGCUACACAGGUAAUGGGGCUCGAAAUAGGAAGAGGCUCCAGCUUAAGGCUCCGACGAGCAGUGCCAAGGCGAGGAGCCCCAGCCAGCGUUACGGUGACAACAAAGGCCCCUGGGGCAAAAUGUUCCAUCGGCAGUGGAUCGCCAAAAACUCCUGCAAAAGCUGAGGCUUCUAGGACAGCAAAAAUUGCCGAGGUGAGCAAUGAUAGUGGAGCAGAGGAUUUAGACGAUUCGGGAGUAGAAAGUGGAGCAAUCGAUGGUGGGGAAGAAGAGGUAAACAAGAUCAUGACUGGAGGAGGAAACGAUGCCGAGGUGGAAAGAACAACAGUGGUGGAGAGCUCCAUUGAGACUGUCAGGAAACAUGGCGAGGCUGUUUCUAGCGCCUUAGCUGGACUUUCAAUCAGAGGUAGUGCCUUGACCCACGGUAAUCCCGUUAAGAUGAAAGCUGGUUGUGGUUCCGUGAAAGCUGAAGCUUCGGUUUCGAUCGCAGCUGGAUGUGAUCCUAUGAAAGUAGAUGGAUUGGUGAAAAUGGAAGCUGGUUUUGAGUCUGCAAGAGUCGAAGCUCUGGUUGGCUCGGUGAAGAUGGACCCUCGUUAUGAUACUGUGAAACUUGAAACUCCAUUCGGGGGUUGUUUUAGAUGUUGAGAGGUGGUGGCUUCUCCAAGAGACUGAAGUUGCCGGGUACUCGACGUCCAGGGGAUGCCGGAUUCGUGUUGGCGAGUUCAUUUCCUUCAGUUUUCCCAAGCCUGAAGCCGAAAGUAAGAAGAAUUUCUUUGAGCACAAGAAGGUUCGGCCGAAAGUGAGCUCCGAUAUUGUAAGGUUCUUGACAAAAGCUUCAGGAGAGAUAGGACGGCUUCCAGCCGACUGCGCCAAGUGUUUGAUACCUUUGGGAAGUGCAAAAUGGCACCAGAGGCUCUUUCUCUUAUGAGCAGCAUAGUUCUCCAUUUGAGAGUUUAUAUCAACAAGUCAGAAGCCUUACGAGGAGGGGGUUGAGCGCGGAUUGAAGCUUCUGCAAGCUAUCUUGAAGCCGGUAAUGCUUCGAAGAACAAAAGAUUCAACUGAUAAAGAAGGAAGACCAAUUCUUGUUCUCCAACCGGCUCAAUGUGAAGUUAUUGAAUGCAAACUAUCUGAGCCUGAACGUGAUUUUUAUGAUGCCCUUUACCACAGAUCUAA